CGGAACGCAAGCGGCUGCUGCUCCCACCCCAAAUACCACAUUUAUGCCGGGUUUGUGUUUCUUGUUUUCGGUCUCUUUGUUUCCCUCUUCUUAUCACUCGUUUCAUCCACUCUUUCUACCGUCUUUUUGGGGCCGGCGAUAACACGCGCCGGUAAAUCGUAUUGCGCGUCAACAACACCAUCGGGAGCGCCGGUGGUACGGGAAGGAACAAAACAAAACAAAACAAAAAAGGUCUUUGGUUUCACCACACUUCAUCAACAUCCGUGGUGUAGGAUGUCCAGCCGGGCCAACAGGCAAAAGUUUUCCUUCCAUAACGAGCUACGAUGGAGUUGCCUGGUAGUUAACGCGAUAGUGAGACGAGCGCGUGAGAUGAGCGCGUGAGCGUGAGCUGUAGCCGCUCGCUGCGUGAGAUGCUCUAUCGCGUGAGAGAUGGCGUAACUUCAGGCGUUAAAAAAGUCAUCGAACGGGGGGU